rnacentral:rRNA from 1 species
CUACGUGCCAGCAGCCGCGGUAAUACGGAAGGUCCAGGCGUUAUCCGGAUUUAUUGGGUUUAAAGGGAGCGUAGGCCGGAGAUUAAGUGUGUUGUGAAAUGUAGACGCUCAACGUCUGACUUGCAGCGCAUACUGGUUUCCUUGAGUACGCACAACGUUGGCGGAAUUCGUCGUGUAGCGGUGAAAUGCUUAGAUAUGACGAAGAACUCCGAUURCGAAGGCAGCUGACGGGAGCGCAACUGACGCUUAAGCUCGAAGGUGCGGGUAUCGAACAGGAUUAGAUACCCUGGUAGUCCGCACAGUAAACGAUGGAUGCCCGCUGUUGGUACCUGGUAUCAGCGGCUAAGCGAAAGCAUUAAGCAUCCCACCUGGGGAGUACGCCGGCAACGGUGAAACUCAAAGGAAUUGACGGGGGCCCGCACAAGCGGAGGAACAUGUGGUUUAAUUCGACGCAACGCGAAGAACCUUACCAGGUCU